AGUGAACGCUGGCGGUAGGCCUAACACAUGCAAGUCGAACGGCAGCACAGUAAGAGCUUGCUCUUACGGGUGGCGAGUGGCGGACGGGGGAGGAAUACAUCGGAAUCUACUUUUUCGUGGGGGAUAACGGAGGGAAACUUACGCUAAUACCGCAUACGACCUACGGGUGGAAGCAGGGGAUCUUCGGACCUUGCGCGAUUGAAUGAGCCGAUGUCGGAUUAGCUAGUUGGCGGGGUAAAGGCCCACCAAGGCGACGAUCCGUAGCUGGUCUGAGAGGAUGAUCAGCCACACUGGAACUGAGACACGGUCCAGACUCCUACGGGAGGCAGCAGUGGGGAAUAUUGGACAAAGGGCGCAAGCCUGAUCCAGCCAUACCGCGUGGGUGAAGAAGGCCUUCGGGUUGUAAAGCCCUUUUGUUGGGAAAGAAAAGCAGCAGGUUAAUACCCCGCUGUUCUGACGGUACCCAAAGAAUAAGCACCGGCUAACUUCGUG
rnacentral:rRNA from 1 species